rnacentral:tRNA from 1 species
GCCCUCGUAGCUCAGUGGAUAGAGCACUUGCUUGCGGAGCAAGGGGUCGCGUGUUCGAGUCACGCCGAGGCGCU